GUCGAACGAAGUAGCAAUACUUAGUGGCAGACGGGUGAGUAACAUGUGGGUAUCUACCCUAUGGCCUGGAAUAACACGAGGAAACUUGUGCUAAUACUGGAUAAGUCUUUACGGAGAAAGCUUUAUGCACCAUUGGAUGAGCCCGCAUUUGAUUAGUUUGUUGGUAGGGUAAUGGCCUACCAAGACUUUGAUCAAUAGCUGAUUUGAGAGGAUGAUCAGCCACAUUGGGACUGAGACACGGCCCAAACUCCUACGGGAGGCAGCAGUGGGGAAUCUUGCACAAUGGAGGAAACUCUGAUGCAGCGAUGCCGCGUGAGUGAAGAAGGCCCUUGGGUUGUAAAGCUCUUUCGUCGGGGAAGAAAAUGACUGUACCCGAAUAAGAAGGUCCGGCUAACUUCGUGCCAGCAGCCGCGGUAAUACGAAGGGACCUAGCGUAGUUCGGAAUUACUGGGCUUAAAGAGUUCGUAGGUGGUUGAAAAAGUUGGUGGUGAAAUCCCAGAGCUUAACUCUGGAACUGCCAUCAAAACUUUUCAGCUAGAGUUUGAUAGAGGAAAGCAGAAUUUCUAGUGUAGAGGUGAAAUUCGUAGAUAUUAGAAAGAAUACCAAUUGCGAAGGCAGCUUUCUGGAUCAUUACUGACACUGAGGAACGAAAGCAUGGGUAGCGAAGAGGAUUAGAUACCCUCGUAGUCCAUGCCGUAAACGAUGUGUGUUAGACGUUGGAAAUUUAUUUUCAGUGUCGCAGCGAAAGCGAUAAACACACCGCCUGGGGAGUACGACCGCAAGGUUAAAACUCAAAUGAAUUGACGGGGACCCGCACAAGUAGUGGAGCAUGUGGUUUAAUUCGAAGAUACGCGCAGAACCUUACCAACACUUGACAUGUUCGUCGCGACUUUAAGA
rnacentral:rRNA from 1 species